rnacentral:rRNA from 1 species
GUGUGCCUACAAGCAGCCGGAGCACUCUUGCAGUGUGACGGCGUGCCUUUUGUAGAAUGAGCCAGCGAGUUACGGUGUGUGGCAAGGUUUAGUUAGAAAACGAGCCAAAGUGAAAGCGAGCCUUAACAGGGCGUUUUAGUCACAUGCUGUAGACGCGAAGCCGAGUGAGCUAUCCCUGGCCAGGCUGAAGCGGGGGUAAGACCCCGUGGAGGGCCGAACCCACUUGGGUUAAAAACCGAGGGGAUGAGCUGGGGAUAGGGGUGAAAGGCCAAUCAAACCCGGAGAUAUCUCGUUCUCCCCGAAAUAGCUUUAGGGCUAGCCUCGAUGCGUUUCCUUAUGGUGGUAGAGCCACUGGUUUUUUGCGGGGGUGUCAAAGCCUGCCAACGAAAGCCAAACUCCGAAUGCCAUAAGGUUAGAGCUCGGGAGUCAGACCGCGUGGGAUAAGCCGCGUGUUCAAAAGGGAAACAGCCCAGAUCGCCUGCUAAGGUCCCUAAGUUUAUGCUAAGUGGCAAAGGAUGUGCGUUUGCCUAGACAACCAGGAUGUUGGCUUAGAAGCAGCCAUGCAUUUAAAGAGUGCGUAAUAGCUCACUGGUCGAGUGGACAUGCGCCGACAAUUAACGGGGCUCAAGCAUAACACCGAAGCAGCGGACUAAUUUAUUAGUGGUAGGGGAGCUUUCUGUGUACGUUGAAGUUCAACUGUGAGGUUGGGUGGAGAGCACAGAAGUGAGAAUGCUGGCAUGAGUAACGAGAGAUGGGUGAAAAACCCAUCCGCCGUAAGCCCAAGGGUUCCUGGGGAAGGCUAAUCCCCCCAGGGUUAGUCGGGAGCUAAGCUAAGGCCGAGAGGCGUAGGCGAUGCACAACAGGUUUAUAUUCCUGUACCACUGCGGGUCGUUAUACCGAUGGAGUGACGGAGAAGGGCAGCCGAGCGGGGUUCUGGACGUCCCCGUGAAAGCGUGUAGGGAGAUUUCGCAUGGAAAUCAGCGGAAUCGCUAAUCUCGAGACGUGAGACGAAGCACACUGGUGUGAAGUCGGUCAUCCCAUGCUUCCGAGAAAAGCUUCUAGGAAGACUUUGCAGUGCCCGUACCAAAACCGACACAGGUGGGCGGGGAGAGUAUACCAAGGCGAUCGGGAGAACUAAGUUUAAGGAACUCGGCAAAAUGACCCCGUAACUUCGGGAGAAGGGGUGCCGCUUGUUGUGAUGAGACUUGCUCUUUGAGCGAUGGGCGGCCGCAGUGAAUAGGCCCAAGCGACUGUUUAUCAAAAACACAGGACUCUGCUCUAAGUCGUAAGACGAUGCAUAGGGUCUGACGCCUGCCCGGUGCUGGAAGGUUACGUGGAUGGGUUAGCUUUUAGCGAAGCCUUGAAAUUAAGCCCCAGUAAACGGCGGCCGUAACUAUAACGGUCCUAAGGUAGCGAAAUUCCUUGUCGGGUAAGUUCCGACCUGCACGAAUGGCGUAACGACUUGGGCGCUGUCUCAAACUUAGACCCGGUGAAAUUGCAUUGUCCGUGAAGAUGCGGACUCCCUGCGGAAGGACGGAAAGACCCCGUGAACCUUUACUGCAGCUUGGCAUUGACAUCUGGUACAGCGUGUAGAGGAUAGGCAGG